UUGAAGUCAGAUCAUGUCACUCUGCUCACUACUCUGAAGCCCUUUAUGACCUAGCUCUGGGCAUCUUUUUGAUGUCAUCUCCCAUUAUGCCCUCAGUCUCGUCCUGGAGACCCCUUGCAACCUUGAUCCUGCCCAGCGGUGACAGACACUGUCUCACUAUAAGGCCUUUGUUAUUGGUGUUUCUUUCUGCUUGGAAUGUUCCUCCAGAUGUCUGCAGACGACCUUCCUCAGGUCAUUCAAGUCUUGAUCCAAGUGUCACUGUCCUCCCUGGCUACGCAAGUCAGAGCUAUGCAAGAGUCUACUACCAUUGCACUAGGCCUCAGCCCACUUCCAUUACAUCUGAAAGAACCAAAAGCACCUGCAUUUUUGAGGAAUUAUUUUCAAGAAUGAAGCACAUAAAGAAUAAAAAAACGAGAGCCAAGACGGAUACCUUGAGAACUCACUGAGAAUGACAACUACUUCCAUUGACCCAGAAAUUGAUAUAUUAGUUUCAAAUACAAAGUCAAAUAGCUCACUUGUUUUGUGCCCUCUUCUCUCUUACCUUUGUAAUAAAAACAUUUUUUUAAAUCAA